GACGAACCGUCCUAACGUUAUUCGGAAUCACUGGGCUUAAAGGGCGCGUAGGCGGAUGAGCAAGUCCGGAGUGAAAUCCUUCGGCUUAACCGGAGAAGUGCUUUGGAUACUGCUCGUCUUGAGGGAGGUAGGGGCAUGUGGAACUUCUGGUGGAGCGGUGAAAUGCGUAGAUAUGUGGAGGAACACCGAUGGCGAAGGCAGCCCCCUGGGCUAACACUGACGCUCAUGCACGAAAGCGUGGGGAGCAAACAGG
rnacentral:rRNA from 1 species